rnacentral:rRNA from 1 species
CCAGACUCCUACGGGAGGCAGCAGUGGGGAAUAUUGCACAAUGGGCGCAAGCCUGAUGCAGCCAUGCCGCGUGUAUGGAGAAGGCCUUCGGGUUGUAAAGUACUUUCAGUCGGGAGGAAGGUGGUAAGGUUAAUAACCUUAUCAAUUGACGUUACCGACAGAAGAAGCACCGGCUAACUCCGUGCCAGCAGCCGCGGUAAUACGGAGGGUGCAAGCGUUAAUCGGAAUUACUGGGCGUAAAGCGCACGCAGGCGGUCUGUCAAGUCGGAUGUGAAAUCCCCGGGCUCAACCUGGGAACUGCAUUCGAAACUGGCAGGCUGGAGUCUUGUAGAGGGGGGUAGAAUUCCAGGUGUAGCGGUGAAAUGCGUAGAGAUCUGGAGGAAUACCGGUGGCGAAGGCGGCCCCCUGGACAAAGACUGACGCUCAGGUGCGAAAGCGUGGGGAGCAAACAGGAUUAGAUACCCCUGUAAG